GUAACAUUUGACGGUUUCUUUUGAGCCUGAAUUUGUACGAUUUAUUAUUGUUUAACUAAUUGUUGUGAAAAUAGAUAAUUAAUUAUAGACAGCAUUGAGUCCAAGUUAAAGGUGAUGCUUCGCAGUUUUCCUUGCGAUCCGGACCUGUUGUACUAAGCUCUCUUUCAGAUGAUGGAAAUGGUCCUGGAGCCAGUAGUAAAAGGCACUGCGCCAAGUGCUUAGUUGGCUCCUUCAAUAAUUGCGCCGCAUGGCAAAAAUCCCUGUUGUACUUGUGCCUAGUUUUUCAGUAAAGUAGCUGAACAGACGACGAAGGACAAUCCCCAUUGCCACUUUUCGAGCAUAUUAAAUUUCUAAGAAGUUGUGCAAAUCGAUUAUUAACAUUGUUUAAUCAUGAAAUGUCCAAAUAAAGGUAACCCACUGUUGCAAGUGGAAAACAUAUUAGAAACAGUA